rnacentral:rRNA from 1 species
UACGAAGGGGGCUAGCGUUGUUCGGAUUUACUGGGCGUAAAGCGCACGUAGGCGGAUUGUUAAGUCAGGGGUGAAAUCCUGGAGCUCAACUCCAGAACUGCCUUUGAUACUGGCAAUCUUGAGUCCGGAAGAGGUGAGUGGAACUCCUAGUGUAGAGGUGGAAUUCGUAGAUAUUAGGAAGAACACCAGUGGCGAAGGCGGCUCACUGGUCCGGUACUGACGCUGAGGUGCGAAA